AUGUUUUCAAAUUGCUAGGUUGGCAGAAGCUGGGGCUAACAGCGGGAACUCACCCUGCUCUCCAGAUUCGAAACACUGACCUUUCAAUCAUGGAGAUGGGCUUUUUCCCCCUUUCACUUCCUCCUUGGGUUUGUUGUGCAAGCCACAUGGGCCUUUUCAGAUGUUUCCUGUUUUGCUGCCAUGGAAUUGAUUGUGCUUCUUGCAGCUCCUUCUUCAUGACUUCCUAUACACCGCAAUGGAAGGACAAGCUGGAAUGUGUCCAGAGAAGGGCAACUAGAAUGAUCAAGGGUCUGGAGAACAAGCCCAAUGAGGAGCGGCUUAAAGAACUAGCCAUGUUUAGCCUGCAGAAGAGAAGGCUGAGAGGAGACAUAUAUGUGUUUGAAGUCAUAGGGAGGAGGGAGCAAGCUUGUUUUCUGCUGCCCUGGAGACUAGGAAUCUGUUUUAUUUGAUUGUUAUACAGUUAUAGUUAUUUUAUUGUUUUGUUUUAUAUUUUAACUUGUUUACACCUUGUUUUCUUUUGGGCUUGGCCCCAUGUUAGCCGUCCCGAGUCCCUUCGGGGAGAUGGUGGCGGGAUACAAAAAUAAAAUAUUAUUUGAUUGCAAUACA